UAUAAACAUUCCCUUUUGUUUCACUUUGCAUGUAGUCAAAUCUCACUCUCUUUUUAAUAUGUUGCAGGGUUUGUGGCGAUGCUGCAUUUCAGCCAGAGCCCGGGCUACUUGCAUUAAGAGGGCUUGUGGUGCUCCCACGUUUCAACCAGAGCCCAGGCUACUUGGAUUAAUAGAGUGAUCUGAGUGAUCGGGCGCUGCUGUCUGUCCUCCAUAAAGGGGGAAUCCUGCCAAAGAAUCCAGUGGCAAAGAGGGCAAACGUGGUGCAGAUUCUUCAGAUCCUCCUUUCAAGGGCUUGUGGCGCUCCUGUGUUCCAACCAGAGCCCAGGAUACUUGCAUUAAUAGAGUGAUCUGAGUGAUCGGGCGCUGCUGUCUGUCCUCCAUAAAGGGGGAAUCCUGCCAAAGAAUCCAGUGGCAAAGAGGGCA